rnacentral:lncRNA from 1 species
CUUAACAGCUUUAUUUCCGCUCUGAAAUAGCAAGGCUUCCUUCCAGCACACAGAGUGGAUGUUCUAAUGGGCUGAGCAGAGCAGGGUGGUUUAAAACACAGGGAAAUGGAAGGCAAAUCACCCCCGACCCCACCCCAUCCCCCCAAAAAGAAGGACCAACCAUUUCAAAGUUAUUUUCCUUGUAAAGUGGGGGGACUGGAGUCAGCAGGACUGAAGGCCUCUUCUUAAAGGUUGUGGCAAGCUUUCCUGGUGCCAAGGCCUCUGCACGUUUGAACAGAGCUAUCAACACAAACCUAAAGCCCCUGCUGGUGAUGAGGCUGCGAUAGGAAGAGCCCCAUGUGACAGGUGCUCGGUAAAGGUGUUCAUUUAAGGAGCAGUGCAGUUGGGGAUGCACAGUUAUCUACCUAGUAAUGCAUGGAGUGUGGCGCAGCUAGGUCAGUGCCUUAUUCAGCAUCAUCAAAGAGGCUUCUUCCUGCAGCAGAUGGGAACAAAUACAGAGACCACACCAGACAUCAUACAAAGAGAGGGACCUGGGAACACAUGUCUCUAAAUAAAGAGAUGUCUCCAUCAAAUUCUCCCCUUGAGAAAGGGAAGAAGGAAGACUGUGAGAGGCAGAGGGAUGGGAAAAUACCAGGGGAAACUACAUCCUUCUAAAGCAACUGAGAAAACUCAUGUGAACUCCUUUCCCCUAGCUGGGCUGUCUUGUGUGGCCUUAGUGAGAGAGAUGCAUUUAGUCCUACUUCGACUUGAUGUCCCAGCUCAGGAUGGUCCCUCAAGGGCAGGUCCCCUUCUCAAAGGAGAAGGGAAUGAGGUAAUAGAGAGAGGGAUUUGUGAGGGUGAGACUGAGAGGAGAGGUGGGAGGGCUGCAACUGGAAAGUAAGGGAAAAUGAAAAAAUUAAAGAAAAUAAAGGAGACAGAUUUAAAAAACUCUUUUGAAACUCUUUUUAGAUUUUUAAAGGUUUUUAUCUGGUAGAAUAUGUAUAGAAAAGGCUUAAUUUAAGCCUUAA